rnacentral:misc_RNA from 1 species
AAAGCACUCAAAAAGUUCCCUACAACUACACCAUAAUGAUAGAUGCUCUUCAGAUGAAACAACAUAUUCUACCCUAACAAAAGUUAUUGCCGAUCAGACAAGUUAUACUAUUCAGGUACUGGGCGUAUGAAGUGCUUUCACAAUCUGGGAAUGAAUUCACGUAGAGGGAUCAGAUUACUCUCCUUGCAAUGAUAUGUUAAUAUCUGUAGUAGACUUUCUUGAAUCUUGAACAGAUGGCAUGGCCGUCCAGUGAUUUGGUUGAAUGGAAGAAGAAAUAACAUUUUGAGUUCCAGCUGCGGGAACAUUUACAGUGUGUGCAUUGGAACUUCUAGGCUCCAUAUUAGAGCUAUGGGGCGCAGCAGGAGAGAGCGUUCCAUAAGUUAUUGCUUUGAGUUCUGCUUUCUGUUUCUUGGGCUUGACCUCUUGGUAGUUGCUUGGUAGAAAACUUCCCACUACAACCUGGACAGGACUAGCAGCUAUUAGCAGUCCUGCAAGUGUUCCUCCGACAACACGUCCAUCCGGACUUGCCAAAGAAAUGCUCAUUCCUCCGGUUCUGCUAGUAGUACGAGAACCCCCAAACUCUGUUGGAGUAAAG